UGAGGAAUAUUGGUCAAUGGAGGCAACUCUGAACCAGCCAAGUAGCGUGCAGGACGACGGCCCUACGGGUUGUAAACUGCUUUUGUCCGGGAAUAACGUGCCCUACGUGUAGGGUAUUGCAUGUACCGGACGAAUAAGGACCGGCUAAUUCCGUGCCAGCAGCCGCGGUAAUACGGAAGGUCCGGGCGUUAUCCGGAUUUAUUGGGUUUAAAGGGAGCGUAGGCCGCAUGUCAAGCGUGCUGUGAAAGCCCGGGGCUCAACCCCGGUCUGCGGCGCGAACUGGCGUGCUUGAGUCCGCGGAAAGCAGGCGGAAUUCGUCGUGUAGCGGUGAAAUGCUUAGAUAUGACGAGGAACCCCGAUUGCGAAGGCAGCUUGCUGCAGCGGCACUGACGCUGAUGCUCGAAAGCGCGGGUAUCGAACAGG
rnacentral:rRNA from 1 species